GAUUCCGUAGCUCAGCUGGGAGAGCGCUACCUUGACAGGGUAGAGGUAGCUGGUUCGAUCCCAGUCGGAAUCA
rnacentral:tRNA from 1 species